rnacentral:rRNA from 1 species
UACGAAGGGGGCUAGCGUUGCUCGGAAUUACUGGGCGUAAAGCGCACGUAGGCGGCUUUCUAAGUCAGGGGUGAAAUCCUGGAGCUCAACUCCAGAACUGCCUUUGAUACUGGGAAGCUUGAGUCCGGAAGAGGUGAGUGGAACUCCGAGUGUAGAGGUGAAAUUCGUAGAUAUUCGGAAGAACACCAGUGGCGAAGGCGGCUCACUGGUCCGGUACUGACGCUGAGGUGCGAAAGCGUGGGGAGCAAACAGG